CGGAUUGCAUUCGACAAGCAUCUUAGGCAACCAUGUGGUCCCUGAUCAUUGCGGUAUUCGUCGUCCUCUGCAACGUAGGGACCCCCUCCUCCAGGCUGACCACAGAAUUGCCAGAUGAUGCCUACAAGUGGCGGCCCAUCAGCGUCUAUUUUGUCGUCGAUCACUUCUUUCACGGAAUGACAGGGUAUGAUCUCCAGAAAUAUGCAGAAAGUCAGGUGGCCAAGACAUCUUUAUUGUACACGUUAGUAAAUCGCAGGGGAUAUACAGAAAAGCUUCAUCCUCUCGUUUGGCCGAACUCAGCA